rnacentral:tRNA from 1 species
GAAUAGGUAGCUCAAUGGUUAGAGCGCCAAACUCCAAAUUUGGAGGAUGGGGGUUCGACUCCCUCCCUAUUCG